GCAGGGUGUGGUGGCGCAUGCCUGUAGUCUCAGCUACACGGGAGGCUGAGGUGGGAUGAUUGCUUGAGCCCAGGAGUUCUGGGCUGUAGUGCGCUAUGCCGAUCGGUGUCUGCACUAAGCUUGGCAUCAAUAUGGUGACCUCCCAGGAGCAGAGAACCACCAGGUUGCCUAAGGAGGGGUGAACCGGCCCAGGUUGGAAAUGGAGCAAGUCAAAACUCCUGUGCUGAUCAGUAGUGGGAUCGCACCUGUCGAUAGCCACUGCACUCCAGCCUGCGCAACAUAGCAAGACCCCGUCUCU
rnacentral:SRP_RNA from 1 species